rnacentral:misc_RNA from 1 species
GAUGAAGAACGCAGCGAAAUGCGAUACGUAAUGUGAAUUGCAAAUUCAGUGAAUCAUCGAGUCUUUGAACGCACAUUGCGCCCCCUGGUAUUCCGGGGGGCAUGCCUGUCCGAGCGUCAUUGCUGCCCUCAAGCACGGCAUGUGUGUUGGGCCCCGUCCUCCGAUCCCGGGGGACGGGCCCGAAAGGCAGCGGCGGCACCGCGUCCGGUCCUCGAGCGUAUGGGGCUUUGUCACCCGCUCUGUAGGCCCGGCCGGCGCUUGCCGAUCAACCCAAAUUUUUUAUCCAGGUUGACCUCGGAUCAGGUAGGGAUACCCGCUGAACUUAAGCAUAUCAAUAAGCGGAGGA